GCCAGGUGCAGUGGAGCAUGCCUAUAAUCCCAACAGCUAGGGAGGCUGAGGCAGGUGGAUUGCAAGUUUGGGGCCAGCCUCAGCAACUUAGUGAGACUCUGUCUCAA
rnacentral:sRNA from 1 species